rnacentral:rRNA from 1 species
GACGAACGCUGGCGGCGUGCCUAACACAUGCAAGUCGAGCGGAAAGGCCCUGCUUUUGUGGGGUGCUCGAGUGGCGAACGGGUGAGAAACACGUGAGUAACCUGCCCUUGUCUUUGGGAUAUCUUCAGGAAACUGGGGCUAAUACCGGAUAGGAGCUCUUGCUGCAUGGUGUUGGUUGGAAAGUUUCGGCGGUUGGGUAUCGACUCGCGGCUUAAGGGCUGGUUGGGGGAGUAGUGGCUUACCAAGCCUUCGACGGCUAGCCUGCCUGAGAGCGUAACCAGGGUCAUGGCGACUACGGGAGGGCGCAGAAUGGUACCGGAGGCAGUAGUAGAGAGUAUUGCACAGUAAGGGAGAGCCUGAUGCAGCAACGUCGCGUGCGGAAUGCCGGCCUUCUGGUGAUGAACCACUUUCGAAUGAAACAUGGCUUUAGUGACGGUAAUGGCUAAAGAAGCACCGGCUAACUACGUG